rnacentral:rRNA from 1 species
GACGAACGCUGGCGGCGUGCUUAACACAUGCAAGUGGUGCGACGAACCAGGCUUCGGCCUGGGGCAAAGCCGCGAACGGGUGAGUAACACGUGAGUAAUCUGCCCCGAUGACCGGGACAACCCGAGGAAACUCGGGCUAAUACCGGAUGAUGAGCCUUGGCCUAAGCCUUGUCUCUAAAGGAAGCUUCGGCCUCCGCAUCGGGAGGAGCUCGCGGCGCAUUAGCUUGUUGGUGGGGUAACGGCCUACCAAGGCGACGAUGCGUAGCUGGUCUGAGAGGACGAUCAGCCACACUGGGACUGAGACACGGCCCAGACUCCUACGGGAGGCAGCAGUGGGGAAUCUUGCGCAAUGCGCGAAAGCGUGACGCAGCAACGCCGCGUCGGGGAAGACGGCCUUCGGGUUGUAAACCCCUUUCAGCAGGGACGAAGCGAAAGUGACGGUACCUGCAGAAGAAGCACCGGCCAACUACGUGCCAGCCGCCGCAGUAACAC